rnacentral:rRNA from 1 species
GCACAGGAUGGACGGGAGAUACUGGGCGUAAGCGCACGCAUGCGGUUGGAUAAGUUAGAUGUGAAAGCCCCGGGCUCAACCUGGGAAUUGCAUUUAAAACUGUCCAGCUAGAGUCUUGUAGAGGGGGGUAGAAUUCCAGGUGUAGCGGUGAAAUGCGUAGAGAUCUGGAGGAAUACCGGUGGCGAAGGCGGCCCCCUGGACAAAGACUGACGCUCAGGUGCGAAAGCGUGGGGAGCAAACAGGAUUAGAUACCCUGGUAGUCCACGCCGUAAACGAUGUCGAUUUGGAGGCUGUGUCCUUGAGACGUGGCUUCCGGAGCUAACGCGUUAAAUCGACCGCCUGGGGAGUACGGCCGCAAGGUUAAAACUCAAAGGAAUUGACGGGAAGG